rnacentral:sRNA from 1 species
AUUUAAUUCGUUUUUAACUAAAAAUUAAAUUAAAAAACAGUGAUUAUACAUGUCAUCAUUCCAUGUCAUUACGAUAAUCCACGUCAUUAAUCAUCUCCAAACCGCAUAACGUUUGGGUUUUUUAUUUCUUGGCUUUACUGUUCAUCAUCUCCCAAAAAAAAAAAAACUGUCGCUUUCUUCCUCUUUCUCUCUCGACGGAACAAAAUCGAUUUCUUUCGCCGUUUUGCUCUUUUCUCGUCUGUUCCGGCCGAAAUUCAGACGCCGGAGUCGCAUUUCUGUAAGCGCGAAGUCACAUCUGACAUCUAAGUUCCAGUGAGUAUGUUUCCAUUAAGUAAGACUCUGACAUCUAAGUUCAAUCUCAAGUGAUUCCCGUCACUGAAAUCGUUUUCCGAUGCGUAACGAUGGUUUUUAAAGCUGGGUUUUAACGUCGUCGUUGAUUGACAUAUGGUGGCCGAUUUCUUAGAUCUAUUUGAUUUGACGGCUGAGUUACUAUUUGUUUGCCGACUGAUUUAUGAUUUAUCAAUUCAUCCGUGUCUGAGUUUGUUUUAUGCUGUGACUGAGUUAUGGUUUAACCUUACAUCGAUGUCUGAGUUUCUGUUAAAAUAUGGCUGAGUUAGAUUUAUCUUAUGGCUGAGUUAUGUUAUGUGUGGCUGAGAUAGGUUUAUGUUAUGACGGAGUUAUAUUAUCUAUGGCUGAGUUAGAUUUAUGUUUUGCCUGAGUUAUGGUAUCUGUGGAUGAGUUUGUUUUAUGUUAUGACUGAGUUAUGGAAUGCUUACGGCUGAUUUAUGGUUAUACAGAUGUCUGAAGACCAAGCAAGGGAGUACCCUCCAAGACUUUACCAAGAGGGGGAUUCUAAUCUGGAGGGUAAAGGCAUUAAUCAUAAUAUAAAGCUGGGAGAGUUCCCUGCAAUUAGAGAAUCAAUAGGAAAAGAAAUAUGGGCAGAACUGAAAGAGACAGAGCUUAGAUUAAUUGCUAAGCUUGUUGAUAGUUAUUU